GGGUGAUAGUUUUUACGAAAAGUUUAUGAAAGUUGUCGAAUGCUUAAAACUAUAAGUAAGCAAAAAUAUGUAAUUUGCAUUAGAAUUUCAAAUCUCUUAUUAAAAUAUUCGAAAUAUGAAUUCGUCAUGUGAAGCACAAUGCGGUCUCUCGAUGACAACAUUGUAUCCUCUUUUAAUAAUGAAGUACAAGGAAAAAUUGGCGAUUUGUAUUUUGGUGAAAUGAGAAACAGCCAAUAUGCCUGGUCUUCUGGGAACACAGAAAUAAUCGGAAAGAUGAUUUCUUCGUCUUCAUGGACGAUGCUGAAAGAUUUGGCGAGGAUAUUAUGACAGCUAACGUCUUGGGACUGUUAUGGACGAAAAGCCAUAAAGGACAGAAAAAUAUUGAGGACAUAUUAUGGACAGAAAAAUAUUGAGGUAGUGAAUAGAAAUUUCUCUAAUUUUGAUGUUCCGAAGAAACUCCAAAUUUUCACUUAGGCUUCAAAAGUUUUGGCUAUACGGAUCACUUUGGUUUGUCGAAGAAGCCCCAAGCUAUUGCUAUGAAUGCACAGCCUUCAAAAUAAGACCACUCAUUUCGACAAAUGUAAAAAGACCUAUUGAAAGAGACUUUCUUGCGCCGACUGAAACAUAGAGCUCUGCUUUUGACAUCUGUGCUUAGGACGAGGUACCGGACAGAUUGAAGGUUGAAAUGCCGUAUUUAAAAUGGAAAGUCUUGUCAAGAGGUCUUGGUAAAAUUAUGAACUGAUGGUUGUCUAUUUUGGCUAUAUUAUUUAAAAUUGUUUUAAGCAUAAGUAUUUCGUGCAUUCCUGGAGUAGUUAACCAUUCCUUAAAUCAAGUGACACAAACUAAAUUUUUAAAAACAGACAUCGGACGUCAUUGAUUAUUUUCAAACUGUGUCAACCCACACUUUGAGAUCUCGAUAUGUAAAUCAUUCUGCCAGUAAAAUUCCUCGAACGGAUCCAGAACUUGAUGCUUCGUACAUGACUUGGUUUUCAAGUCCAGAAUAAUCCUUCUUGCCAUCCAUCGCUUUGGGCAGUAUCUUCGUCCGGCAUAUUAAUCCAUCUAUUUCAAUAAAAUUUAACAGGAAUCUAGAAAUGAGUCAGAUAAUUUACCACAGCUAUCCGUAUUCUGACUACAGAAUAGUUUUUAGAGUUGAUUCAAAUGCAUGUAAACAGUUACUGGUGUCCUUGAUUCCAUUUGCAUCCAGAUUUUACUCAAUUAGUAAUUGCCUCAAUUCUACUUCAUGCUCUAUUACGCAUUUAUUGUAGUUGGCAUUGGGAUAAUAUCAAUUUAUUUAACAUUGAGUUUCUUCCUUUAAAGAAUAUUUGAAAUCCUUUGCUCUACUUUCAUGUUCUCAUUCUCAGCAAGAGCAAAGCAUGCUGAACACUCUGAUCAGCUCUUACCCUCAGAUCUGCUCCUUGGCGACUGCAUAUUUAAAUUGUAAAUGCUCUGUCUUACGCAUCCUUGUAGAAUGUCCACGUUUUACACCAGAGCAGAGAACAUUCUUUCAGAUGUCCCUCCCAGAUAUACAUGAUUUGAUUUUCAAAACUCCUCAUAUCAACAUAUAUCGUUUUAUUAAAAAUAUUUUUAAUACUGAAACAUUUUAGUUUUGUUUUCUAGUUUGAGAUGUCUUUUUUUUAAUUCCAUUUUGUGAUUACAAUGGUAUUUGCAUUUUUAUGCAUUGGAACUAGGUUUCUAUUUCAUCUUUUGUUUUAAUUGGAUAAAAAUACUCUAAUGCAAAGAUUUCGGCUUAGAACAACUAAAGAUGGCUUUUAUGCAAAACAAGGGAAUAAAACUCAACUGAGCGCAGUUUCUGUUCAUUUUGCAUACACCAGUAAAACCUUAUCCUUAAUAAAUGGCGGCAGUAUUGAAAUUUUCCAACUGAGAUAUAGCAAUGUAUUAAGCCAUUAUGGCCGGCUAUUUCUACUCAACGAUUUGGUGUUCAAUUAACACGUGCGCAUUUCUUUCGGAGAUAAUAUAUAAAAAAUACUUGCUCUCUAGAGAUUCAGUAUCUACGUGUACAAUCUGAAAUGCAAUUCAAACUAUUGACCAUACUUUAAUGUCCUGAUUUUUACUAAAUCGGUUCAAAUUUUCAAAACGAUUGUUUAGAUCUGAAGGUCUCGAUACGUACGCGAUUUUCUUUGGAAUAUUUUUAUAACAAAUUUAAAUUACAAGUUGUGCUUCAUGCAAUUUUACUUCAGACUAGAAUAUUUCUUAGCUCUGCUUUGCAAAUAUUUCUUGUUAAAUUUUUAUUUUCCGUGGAAAUUUUAAGUAUUUUAAGACUACUUUUUUAUUGGCAUCUUCAGACUUAGUUUUUCUAUGGAAUGCAUGUUUGGUGUAGCUUAGCUUAUACCUGCUAUUGUCACAUUUCAUCCAACCGGCCCUAAAACUGGACUUGCGUAUCCAAACAUCUUGGUAGAUUAAGGCAUGUAAAAUACUCGAACUUGCCGAAACUUAAUUUCCAAUAUUUCUGCUGGAAAAAACUUAAGGUAUGAAAAAAGUAGAGAAACUUUUUUUUUUUGAAAUACAAGCUAUGAAGUUUAAUAGUGCCUUAAGUUUGCAAUACGAAUGUGAACUUGCUUUUGGAGUCAAAAUUUUAAUCGUUUGAACUGAGUGCAAUUCCAAGUGAAGGUGCUGAAUUGUCUGAAUGUUGAGCAGUACAAAGCGAGCCAGAAAUGAUAUAUGGUGUCUUUUCACUUGAUUAGAUAUUCUGAUUUUGAAAUGGAUAUAGAAUUUCAUAUACUUUUUAAAUACUGAAAAUACCUUGCUUGCAAUUGGGUGAAAGGCCAAUCACUGAGGAUUCUAAUAUAAAUUUAAAUAUUAUCUCCAUUUUUUUAAUAUCAAUCAAGUUAACUGCAAGUAAGACUUCUCUAUCUGGGGAAACAAUCAUUUCGCUUAUUUCGGUAAAUUUCCAACAAUAAAAUGGUUGUACAAUCAAUUAACCAUCUGGAUAUUGCUGUAUUGAAAUAAACUUGCGCUUAUUUGUCCAUGCUGACACAGACUGCUCACGGGGUGUAAGAUAAUGAUUUGGAUUGAAGGAUUUGAAUUCUUAAAGGCAGUUUUAAUGCGAAUGCAAACAAUACACAGGUACUGAAUUACACAUAAUGAAAUAACUUAAAUGUAAAUAAACUUAAAAGGCAAAGCAAAGAUGAA